GUGCCAGCAGCCGCGGUAAUACGUAGGGGGCAAGCGUUGUCCGGAAUCACUGGGCGUAAAGGGUUCGCAGGCGGAAAUGCAAGUCAGUUGUGAAAGGCAGAGGCCCAACCUCUGUAAGCAAUUGAAACUGUAUUUCUUGAGAUGUGGAGAGGCAAGUGGAAUUCCUAGUGUAGCGGUGAAAUGCGUAGAUAUUAGGAAGAAUACCGGUGGCGAAGGCGACUUGCUGGACACAAACUGACGCUGAGGAACGAAAGCGUGGGUAGCAAACAGGAUUAGAUACCCCCGUAGUCC
rnacentral:rRNA from 1 species